GACGACUGCAAUAUGAUUCGGAUUCCACACCAACCAUUUUUCUCCAAACAAACAAAAGAAAAUCUGAGGUUUCAUAUCCUUCAAAUGGGAGAAUGGAACUAAUACUCAUGAUGUGGAAAUAGAAGCUUUGUGACUAGGAUGGACAAAACUGGGGAAGCAAUAACAGUAGUAACAAUGGGAAAAUAAUGGUUCUUAUUAUUGGAGGAGUAAGUGCUUUGGAUUUCUUAUGAUGAUGAUGAUUUGGUGUAGAUUAUUUAUGUAUUUGACACAAAUUUGUUUCCUUUAAUCCACUCACAAUUAUGCAACAUGAUAAUGUUGGCUAUAGAUUUUAAGAAUGCUGUAUUUAAGAUAAAUAGCAGUAAAAUCUUGAUUUAUUUAUUUAUACUUAAAAGAAAACCUUGCAGGUGAGUCAGUGGUGUGGUGAGUAAUCUGAGUGUUUUUGCUUUGUGUUUUUGUUGUCAGCGGUGUUCGUGCUUUGGAGGAUGAGUGUGCUGUUUUGGAGGAUGAGGAAAUCUGUAGAUCGGACCUAUUUUCAACCUGCCCAGUUAACAGAUUGGGCGGUUUGUAAUUUUUUCGAAUUAUUUCGGCUUGUAAUUUUUAUCGAUUUUUUCGGUUUGGUUUAGACGGAUUAUUCGGUUUAGACAA